rnacentral:rRNA from 1 species
UACAGAGGUCCCAAGCGUUGUUCGGAUUCACUGGGCGUAAAGGGUGCGUAGGUGGUCGGAUAAGUUUGAUGUGAAAUCUCCGGGCUUAACCCGGAAACUGCAUUGAAUACUAUUCGGCUGGAGGGUUGGAGGGGGGACUGGAAUUCUCGGUGUAGCGGUGAAAUGCGUAGAUAUCGAGAGGAACACCAGUGGCGAAGGCGAGUCCCUGGACAACUCCUGACACUAAGGCACGAAAGCUAGGGGAGCAAACAGG